rnacentral:sRNA from 1 species
AAUUGUGAUUAUUUUACCUAAGACAGUAGGAGUUAUUUAUAACUUAAAACUCAUCCUACCGAGGCUAAAAUUGACUUGAACGUGAUGAUUAAUGAUCUUUCAAGCACUUUUUGCCGUGGGUAGAAAGUGCUUUUUUUAUUGC